AUGCACAUUGCUGCUGCUAAGAUGUUCACCAAGAAGGCCGAAACCGCUACCACACCUGAAGAGGCCGCGGCUGCCAAGCGAGCUGCAGCCAAGUCUACCGCUGCUGCAUCAAAGUAUGAUGUCAUUUCUCAGCAAGCAGCCGGUACAAGUUCUUCUACCUCCCCCAAUAGGAAAGAAGCUGCCGGUACCUUGGCAGAUGCACGCAUGGCUGCUGUCGAGAAGUCCAUAAAGAAGGCUGAAACCACCACCAGACCUGAAGAGGCAGCAUCCGCUAAGAAGGAUGCCGCGAAAUCUGAGGCUGAUGCAAUGAAGUACGGGGCCAUCCCUCAGCAGGCCGCCGGUAAAAAUGGUGCCUAA
rnacentral:rRNA from 1 species